AUUGAACGCUGGCGGCAGGCCUAACACAUGCAAGUCGAGCGGAUGAAGGGAGCUUGCUCCUGGAUUCAGCGGCGGACGGGUGAGUAAUGCCUAGGAAUCUGCCUGGUAGUGGGGGAUAACGUCCGGAAACGGGCGCUAAUACCGCAUACGUCCUGAUGGUGAAAGUGGGGGAUCUUCGGACCUCACGCUAUCAGAUGAGCCUAGGUCGGAUUAGCUAGUUGGUGGGGUAAAGGCCUACCAAGGCGACGAUCCGUAACUGGUCUGAGAGGAUGAUCAGUCACACUGGAACUGAGACACGGUCCAGACUCCUACGGGAGGCAGCAGUGGGGAAUAUUGGACAAUGGGCGAAAGCCUGAUCCAGCCAUGCCGCGUGUGUGAAGAAGGUCUUCGGAUUGUAAAGCACUUUAAGUUGGGAGGAAGGGCAGUAAGUUAAUACCUUGCUGUUUUGACGUUACCAACAGAAUAAGCACCGGCUAACUUCGUG
rnacentral:rRNA from 1 species